rnacentral:rRNA from 1 species
CAUCGAGUCUUUGAACGCAAGUUGCGCCUGAAGCCACUAGGUUGAGGGCACGUCUGCCUGGGCGUCACACAAUGUGUCGCCCCCUUGCAGCUCGCCUUGCACAGGAUGAGUGUURCUAAUGGGGGCGGAUAAUGGCUUCCCGUGCGUAGGUGCGGCCGGCCUAAAUUGUAGUCCCUCAUCUCACGGGGUCACAACAAGUGGUGGUUGAAAAGCUUAAACAAGUUGUGCACACCAUGCGAUGGAGGUGAUGUUUUGGACCCUAAGGCGAUCCCUCUACUGUGAGGAGCGUUCGUCACGACUGCGACCCCAGGUCAGGCGGGGCUACCCGCUGAGUUUAAGCAUAUCAAUAAGCGGAGGAAAAGAAACUAACAAGGAUUCCCUUAGUAACGGCGAGCGAACCGGGAAAAGCCCAAGCUUAGAWUCGAGCGGCUUCGUCGCUCGAAUUGUAGU